AAGCUCGUAGUUGAAUUUCGGGAUUAGUACGUCGGUCGUGCCUUAGGUACGUACUGGUGUUACUGGUUCCUACCUUCUGACGAACCAUCAUGUCAUUAAUUUGGUGUGGUGGGGAAUCAGGACUGUUACUUUGAAAAAAUUAGAGUGUUUAAAGCAGGCUCGCGAUUGAAUACAUUAGCAUGGAAUAAUGAAAUAGGACGUUGAUCCUAUUUUGUUGGUUUCUAGGAUUGACGUAAUGAUUAAUAGGGAUAGUUGGG
rnacentral:rRNA from 1 species